GGGCCAUAGCUCGGUGGUAGAGCAGCUGCUUUGCAUGCAGAAGGCCCUAGGUUCAAUCCCUGGCAUCUCCA